rnacentral:rRNA from 1 species
GAUGAACGCUGGCGGCGUGCCUAAUACAUGCAAGUCGAACGAAACUUCUUUAUCACCGAGUGCUUGCACUCACCGAUAAAGAGUUGAGUGGCGAACGGGUGAGUAACACGUGGGCAACCCGCCCAAAAGAGGGGGAUAACACUUGGAAACAGGUGCUAAUACCGCAUAACCAUAGUUACCGCAUGGUAACUAUGUAAAAGGUGGCUAUACUACCGCUUUUGGAUGGGCCCGCGGCGCAUUAGCUAGUUGGUAGGGUAAAGGCUUACCAAGGCAAUGAUGCGUAGCCGAAUUGAGAGGUUGAUCGGCCACAUUGGGACUGAGACACGGCCCAAACUCCUACGGGAGGCAGCAGUAGGGAAUCUUCCACAAUGGGCGAAAGCCUGAUGGAGCAACGCCGCGUGGGUGAAGAAGGUCUUCGGAUCGUAAAACCCUGUUGUUAGAGAAGAAAGUGCGUGAGAGUAACUGUUCACGUUUCGACGGUAUCUAACCAGAAAGCCACGGCUAACUACGUG